rnacentral:rRNA from 1 species
GCUCAGUCAAUUUUGGAUUGACACCCCGCCCCAGUUCUUCUUACGAGCAUAAUUGUUUAUUCACAAAUGGGGAACCCUGAUCAGCCCUCCCGGCGUGGCGAUGAAGCUCUUCCGGGUUAUAAAGCAUUUUUGCCAGAAAAGAACCUCAUGGUAUAAUACCCCGUGAACUGACGGUACCUUGCAGAAUAAGCACCGGCUAUCUACGUGCCAGCAGCCGCGGUAAUACGUAGGGUGCAAGCGUUAAUCGGAAUUACUGGGCGUAAAGCGUGCGCAGGCGGUUCGGAAAGAAAGAUGUGAAAUCCCAGAGCUUAACUUUGGAACUGCAUUUUUAACUACCGGGCUAGAGUGUGUCAGAGGGAGGUGGAAUUCCGCGUGUAGCAGUGAAAUGCGUAGAUAUGCGGAGGAACACCGAUGGCGAAGGCAGCCUCCUGGGAUAACACUGACGCUCAUGCACGAAAGCGUGGGGAGCAAACAGGAUUAGAUACCCUGGUAGUCCACGCCCUAAACGAUGUCAACUAGCUGUUGGGGCCUUCGGGCCUUGGUAGCGCAGCUAACGCGUGAAGUUGACCGCCUGGGGAGUACGGUCGCAAGAUUAAAACUCAAAGGAAUUGACGGGGACCCGCACAAGCGGUGGAUGAUGUGGAUUAAUUCGAUGCAACGCGAAAAACCUUACCUACCCUUGACAUGUCUGGAAUUCCGAAGAGAUUUGGAAGUGCUCGCAAGAGAACUGGAACACAGGUGCUGCAUGGCUGUCGUCAGCUCGUGUCGUGAGAUGUUGGGUUAAGUCCCGCAACGAGCGCAACCCUUGUCAUUAGUUGCUACGAAAGGGCACUCUAAUGAGACUGCCGGUGACAAACCGGAGGAAGGUGGGGAUGACGUCAAGUCCUCAUGGCCCUUAUGGGUAGGGCUUCACACGUCAUACAAUGGUCGGGACAGAGGGUCGCCAACCCGCGAGGGGGAGCCAACCCCAGAAACCCGAUCGUAGUCCGGAUCGCAGUCUGCAACUCGACUGCGUGAAGUCGGAAUCGCUAGUAAUCGCGGAUCAGCAUGUCGCGGUGAAUACGUUCCCGGGUCUUGUACACACCGCCCGUCACACCAUGGGAGUGGGUUUUACCAGAAGUAGUUAGCCUAACCGCAAGGGGGGCGAUACCACGUAGAUGCAGCUGA